UGAGUGUAAUUUUCUUCCUUUCUGCCAAGGCUGCCGCUUGGGAGACAGGAUGAAGACCAUUCUUUCUUCCGAGACGAUGGACAUCCCCGAUGGGAUUAGCAUCAAAAUAAAAGCCAAGGUUAUCGAAGUUGAGGGUCCCAGGGGUAAGCUCAUCCGCGACUUCAAGCACCUCAACCUCGACUUCCAUCUCAUUAAGGACGAGGAGACCGGCAAGCGUAAGCUCAGGCUUGAGGCUUGGUUCGGCUCCAGGAAGACUAGCGCCGCCAUCCGCACCGCUCUCAGC
rnacentral:lncRNA from 1 species